CAGUUAAAAAGCUCGUAGUUGGAGUUCAGAGUGAGCUCAGCUGGUCGGCCUAAUGGGUCAGAACUGGUUGACUCUCUCUUGUUUGUGGGUCUCGCCCGGAGUUAACUCUUCGGAUGUGGAUCCCACAUCGUUUACCUUGAAAAAAUUAGAGUGUUCAAAGCAGGCGUUUGCUUGAAUAUAUUAGCAUGGAAUAAUGGAAUAGGACGCUGGUUCUAUUUUGUUGGUUUUGAGAACCAGAGUAAUGAUUAAUAGGGACAGUUGGGGGCACUCAUAUUUCAUUGUCAGAGGUGAAAUUCUUGGAUUUAUGAAAGAUGAACUUCUGCGAAAGCAUUUGCCAAGGAUGUUUUCAUUAAUCAAGAACGAAAGUUAGGGGAUCGAAGACGAUCAGAUACCGUCGUAGUCUUAACCAUAAACUAUGCCGGCUAGGGAUUGGGCGUGGUUUGUUCAUUGACCCGCUCAGCACCUUACGAGAAAUCAAAGUCUUUGGGUUCCGGGGGGAGUAUGGUCGCAAGGCUGAAACUUAAAGGAAUUGACGGAGGGGCACCACCAGGAGUGGAACCUGCGGCUUAAUUUGACUCAACACGGGAAAACUCACCAGGUCCAGACAUAAUAAGGAUUGACAGAUUGAUAGCUC
rnacentral:rRNA from 1 species